GAUGAACGCUGGCGGCGUGCCUAAUACAUGCAAGUCGAGCGAACAGACGAGGAGCUUGCUCCUCUGACGUUAGCGGCGGACGGGUGAGUAACACGUGGAUAACCUACCUAUAAGACUGGGAUAACUUCGGGAAACCGGAGCUAAUACCGGAUAAUAUAUUGAACCGCAUGAUUCAAUAGUGAAAGACGGUUUUGCUGUCACUUAUAGAUGGAUCCGCGCCGCAUUAGCUAGUUGGUAAGGUAACGGCUUACCAAGGCAACGAUGCGUAGCCGACCUGAGAGGGUGAUCGGCCACACUGGAACUGAGACACGGUCCAGACUCCUACGGGAGGCAGCAGUAGGGAAUCUUCCGCAAUGGGCGAAAGCCUGACGGAGCAACGCCGCGUGAGUGAUGAAGGUCUUCGGAUCGUAAAACUCUGUUAUUAGGGAAGAACAAAUGUGUAAGUAACGAUGCACGUCUUGACGGUACCUAAGCAGAAAGCCACGGCUAACUACGU
rnacentral:rRNA from 1 species